rnacentral:lncRNA from 1 species
CCACAAUUUCACAUACAUCACUUAGUGUCCCGUUGCACACCUGCCUCCAGGUGAUUGCCAUACUAAUUAGAGGGAUUUAGACUAAGCCUUUCACAUGCAAGGCGAGUGGUUGUACGAUAAAUGAGUUAGGCAAGAUGAAUCAUCAACUCAGUCCUUAAUCGAGACAAGGCGGAUAUCUUCUCGCUUAACCCCGCAAGGUAUAAGCCACAACACCAGGGCAU